rnacentral:rRNA from 1 species
AAUGAACGCUGGCGGCAGGCCUAACACAUGCAAGUCGAACGGAUCCUCCGGGUUUAGUGGCGGACGGGUGAGUAACGCGUGGGAACAUACCCUUUGGUACGGAAUAGCCUCGGGAAACUGGGAGUAAUACCGUAUGUGGUCGAGAGACGAAAGAUUUAUCGCCAAAGGAUUGGCCCGCGUUGGAUUAGGUAGUUGGUGGGGUAAUGGCCUACCAACCCGACGAUCCAUAGCUGGUUUGAGAGGAUGAUCAGCCACACUGGGACUGAGACACGGCCCAGACUCCUACGGGAGGCAGCAGUGGGGAAUCUUAGACAAUGGGGGAAACCCUGAUCUGGCCAUGCCGCGUGAUCGAUGAAGGCCUUAGGGUUGUAAAGAUCUUUCAGGUGGGAAGAUAAUGACUGUACCUGACGAAUAAGCGCCGGCUAACUUCGUGCCAGCAGCCGCCGUAA